rnacentral:rRNA from 1 species
UGCUAUACAUGCAGUCGAGCGGACAGAUGGGAGCUUGCUCCCUGAUGUUAGCGGCGGACGGGUGAGUAACACGUGGGUAACCUGCCUGUAAGACUGGGAUAACUCCGGGAAACCGGGGCUAAUACCGGAUGGUUGUUUGAACCGCAUGGUUCAAACAUAAAAGGUGGCUUCGGCUACCACUUACAGAUGGACCCGCGGCGCAUUAGCUAGUUGGUGAGGUAACGGCUCACCAAGGCGACGAUGCGUAGCCCACCUGAGAGGGUGAUCGGCCACACUGGGACUGAGACACGGCCCAGACUCCUACGGGAGGCAGCAGUAGGGAAUCUUCCGCAAUGGACGAAAGUCUGACGGAGCAACGCCGCGUGAGUGAUGAAGGUUUUCGGAUCGUAAAGCUCUGUUGUUAGGGAAGAACAAGUACCGUUCGAAUAGGGCGGCACCUUGACGGUACCUAACCAGAAAGCCACGGCUAACUACGUGCCAGCAGCCCAUUAA